UAAAAAUUAAGAAUGUGACCGUUUCAUGUUAUCGUACAUGUCAACUUUAAGUUUUUAAUUUGUUUCUGCGAUAAGCAUAACGUAAGCGUACUCUGAUUGUGUUUUUUGCAUAAGCAUAUCCAAGCCUGAUUUCGAAUUUUCACUUGUUUCUAAACAAACAUAAAUUUGAUUCACAGUCAAGAAAAUGUUUCCUAUAUUAACAACAGUGUCACAAUGUAAUCCACUGCACUUUUUUUAACAUUAAAUGACAUCACCUUAUAAGUGGGUGUAAUAUUUUUAACAAAAACGUUUGUGCACUGUGUUUCCUGUUUAACUCUUUGUAAAUAUAUUUUUGUUUACAAAUAUAAGGAUUAAACAAACAAUAAUUAUUUGAAGCCGCUUACUAAGUAAUGAUUUAUUCGCCAUAUACUUUUAUUCACCAUAAACAGAAAGUUUUAUCAAAACAUCAUAAGAGGAUGUCGAUAAAAAAUGACGUGAUGGACGUUGUUUACGUUUACUCUUUCCGUCAUAAAACACGCGUCAGUAUAUGACGGAAUAUAAUUCUGUCGAAAGUUUAAUCGGUGCAGUUUCGAUGGUUUUACGAAAUGCAUCGGAUUGUUCUUCGAAAACAUUUCGCAAAUAAAAAUUGAUGAACUCGCAUGUUUUUGAAAUAUAAAUUCAAGACAUCAACAAUCUCAAGAAGGUAUAUAAGUAUUUUAUUCAAACCGAGAGAAAAUCUUCGACAAGACGAAUGAUGUGGUUUUCAAAAAGACAUUGCUUGUGUUUUGACAUACGCACAGCCGUCAUGUUAGUAGCGAUGAUAUCGUUCGUAUUUUCGUGUUUUAAUGUGGCCACUUCCUGUAAGAACAUGAACAGGAGUUUAGUUUUUCAAGUGAAUUUGAUUUUCCCAUGUAGAUAAUAAGCAAGCAACAAGUAAGCAAUAGUUCAGCCUAUAAAACACAUAAACAAGUAGCAUUGAUAAUUCAGCCAAAAUAUUGUAUUGCAAAUGUGUAGUUAACAGUUUCGUUCCUUUUAUUUUUCGCAUUCUAAUGUGGAUAGCACUUUGUUCGAAAAAAUUCUUAGAUAGAGAUUAACUACAGAAGAGAAGUGGUGGACUAUAUUCUGUUCUUGAAAGAAAAAUUUGCAUUUACGUUUGUGCUAACUAAUUAAAACAUCUCAAACUAGCGUUCUGACUUAAUUUAUUAUAUUAUUCCAGGUGCUAUCCCAAGUUCAUCCAGACUCGGUGCAAGUUGUCUUCAUUACAAUAAGCACUCAACACAUCAAUUUGGACACUUUUCAUGUGUAUGUCAUUUUUACAUAUAUCAAAUUGAGUUUUUACAUUUUCAACCUACUCACAAGCACGUCCUUGCUUAUAUGCACAGUGACAAAUCUUUACGCAAAA